rnacentral:rRNA from 1 species
UAACCUGCCCAAGAGAUCGGGAUAACACCUGGAAACAGAUGCUAAUACCGGAUAACAACAGAUGAUGCCUAUCAACUGUUUAAAAGAUGGUUCUGCCAUCACUCUUGGAUGGACCUGCGGUGCAUUAGCUAGUUGGUAGGGUAACGGCCUACCAAGGCGAUGAUGCAUAGCCGAGUUGAGAGACUGAUCGGCCACAUUGGGACUGAGACACGGCCCAAACUCCUACGGGAGGCAGCAGUU